AAAAAAGACAAAGAGCAGGUCUAGCAACACUGCUGAAGUGGCUGAAGGAUGGUUCUGAGCAUGCCCUUGGAUGCUCAGGGACUGGCCUUGGAUGCUGGCUGUAUCAUGGUGCCUUGAAUGGGGGUAAAAGGACAAGAUCUUUAUCUUUUGGGCAUCUGCCUAGGAAUUUGAUUGUGGUUUUAUCUGGAGAUUCACAGGUCCAGAUUUGAAGUGUGGAACUCGGAAAUUUUAUACAGCAUCAUCUAGAAGAUGCCUUUUUUAUAAAACAAGGUUGGAGCUGGUGCUGUGUGCCUCUGUGAGGAACAACAGGGUCAUCAACCCAAGGAGCUCACCUGUCAGAGGGGACAGCAUCUUCCAGCUCUAGGGUCAUCCCUGCACACCAGCAGGCUCAGGAGCUGCCUGCAGCUGGUGUGGGCCUGGUUGGGCUCAGCUCCCGUCUGGGUUGGUGGCUGCUCUGCACCUGUGCUGAGCUCAGCGUCUAGCCAGCCCUGUGCUUCACUUUCUGCCUUCCUUUGUAUACAUCAGAGUGUUGACUUGGUGACUGUCUUCAUGUUGGGGGACUUUUCUGGGCCUCUAUCCACUUCUUCAGUACUCAAACUUUGGCUAUUGCUAUAUUCUGCUCUCAGGGCAAGUCCCCAUUCCCAACACUGUGUGCCCUCUCUGUGCCCUAGUCUGCCAGCAAUGCUGCUGCAUUUUCUGCCCUUAGUCCCUUCAGUCUGCCUAGCCUCUCCCAGAGGUACAGCAGAAACAGCCUGGGGACCACAGUCUGCAAGGAGCACACUCAGAGCAUCCCAGCUUUACCUGCUGUAAGGUGGGAAAAGGUGUCUGCCAGCCCCCAGAGGAAGAAAGGCUUCUGGCACCUAAUCCUGGCAGAGUGGGCAGAGGAGGGAGCUGGCAAGAACUGGCUGCACUCCCUGAGCUCCUCCUAGCAUACCCAGGGGGAGAGAAAAUUGUACUACAAGACCAUGGAGACCAUGAAAACUCAAUGCUUUUGAUUGUGUGAAAACUUGUAUUGACACUUCAGUUUCUACAGUCACACCAUCUGACUGACAUCUGCAAGUGAAGGACAACAAAAAGAAGCCUGAACAUGGAUGUCCACAAUAAAAACUCUUGCUCACACA
rnacentral:lncRNA from 1 species